GUGGGCCUGGGCUUCCUCCUAGCCUCGGGAGACCUUGGACACUUGAUUUACCCUUUCUGUGCCUCAGCGUCUUGGGUGAGAGUUGUAUCUGUCCCCUAGAGUUAGAACGCGGACUGAGCUCCGUAAAAUGGUGGUUGAUAUCCCCAUUUCAUGGACCAGGAAACUGAGGCUCAGGAACUUUGGUGACUUGUCCAAACUUCGGCAGGGCCAGGAGCAGGGCCAGGAGGCAGCGGAGGCUCAGGGAUGAGGGGGCUGUGGAGUGGGCCUCGUUCCCUGGCCACAGAGGCAGGAUCCGAAGACUGGUUGCCUGCCUGAACCCAUCAUGCCUCUCUCCAAGAAUAAUACAUGACCAUGACGUUCCAGAGCAGCACUCUUUGGAGGGCAUUCCGCUAGGAACCAGCCCAUUUGUGGAGACAGCAACACCCAGCCAUGUCCUGUGCUCUCCUGUCCCACCACCUCCUCUCCAAGCCUCCGGCUCUGGCCCCGAGGGAACUGCAGACAGACACAGGCCCUGGAGAGCCGCAAGUUCUCCAGGGCACCUCCUCCAGCUCCAGUGGCUUUUCUCUUGAGUCUGCUUCGAUCCCAGUUCUCCCGGAUUCACAAAGGACCACAGGGCGUCUAGCUCUCCUGGGGAUGUGACAAAACCCCCAAAUAUACUCCUAUUGUUUGUUAAACACACACAUGCUCUCUACUAGCUCUUUAGGAAGGAGAACAGGUGUCCAGAGUUUGACAUCAGCCCUUAGAACCAGACUAAAGCAAAAUCAGGAAUUGAAAGAGGCCUGCCUUCCCCUUUCUUCUUUCUCAAAGUUCUUCUCUACCUUGAACCAUUAAUGCCUCCACCUCGCCCGAGACAUCCUGCAGGGACCCAGCUGAGGCCUGCCACUAUCCUGGGCUCACUCUCUCUUUCUACUCUCCACCGCAUAGAAUUCACAGGCCUUCUUGACUAUUACUCAAGAUUUCAAAUUGAGAAGCUCUGAUAAAGUCCUUCACGCUGAGGAUCCAUAGCUGAUAAUCACUGAGUACCUGCCAAAGGUCAUGGGGUGGCUUUUCUGAUACCCCUCCCCAAAUCAUCUACCUUGUUGUCCCCUCAAGCAGAAGUACAGGGCACUGUGCAGUAAUUGAGAACACCUAAGAAUUUUCUUCUCCUGUAGUUCUGUCAGUCUCGGAGACGAGUCAAGGGAAGUCUCCAGGAUCUGAACACUGAUCUAAUUAAUGCUCGUUACCCAGGACCUUGCUUGGGACACGUCUUGAUUCGGGGCUACCCGGACAGAAGAGAUGACCGCGGUGGCAGCAUACCACGGACCCAGCUUUGCUUUUAGCCACAGGGAAGGCUUCACCCCAGACCCUCUCCCCUUUUCUGCCAAGCUUGUAAGCUGCCCGGAACCGCGAGGCCAGCCACAGGCAGGCACAGAGUGAGAGACACACGGCACGUGUACAAACCAUUCAUUUUAUUUCCUGUAUUGGGUUUAUACAAACUUGCAAGAUACAAAUGCAGAGCUCACUGGGAUUCUUCAGUACCUAGAUCUAGAAAG